UAUGACGAAAAGUGGAAGGACCGUACACUAGUUUAAAGUGAUAUGUAUUUUUACGGAGAUAUCUAUAUGUUUUCAUCAAAUCGUCUACUCUCAAUAAGUAUUUUCACUGUUGUAUCCCUUCGCUAGCUCGACACUUCGUUCGUGGUUUAUGCCUUUUCGCACGAAAACCUCAGAGUAUUUAUAUCCCACCCACAAAGAGGAUUACGAGAGGGAAAGUACCUACAUUAAAAAGACAAGACGUUUCGUUGCAAUAUAACAGUAAAUAACUGGAGGUCAUCGUUUGAAGUCCUGGCUAGAUCAACACUCGGGGUCUUAAAAUACCUGAGAAGGUGCUGCCUUUGUUUUUACAUCUGUAAAUGGUUGGACCUUCAAUGUCUCAGAUGACCACGUAAUGGCCAUGCUGUCCCUAAUCAACUAGAGAUGUUAAAAGAGGACCACAAGUUUACUAUCAGUUGAAUUAUUAUAAAGUGUUCUCCUCUGUAAAUAAAGGUGGUUUAUUUAUUAUU